rnacentral:rRNA from 1 species
GAUGAACGCUAGCGGCAGGCUUAAUACAUGCAAGUCGUGGGGCAGCAUGAGUGUAGCAAUACAUUUGAUGGGGACCGGCAAACGGGUGCGGAACACGUACACAACCUUCCUUCAAGUGGGGAAUAGCCCAGGGAAACUUGGAUUAAUACCCUGUAAUAUUAUGGAGUGGCAUCACUUUAUAAUUAUAGCUCCGGCGCUUGAUGAUGGGUGUGCGCCUGANAGGUAGUUGGCGGGGUAACGGCCCACCAAGCCUUCGAUCAGUAACUGGUGUGAGAGCACGACCAGUCACACGGGCACUGAGACACGGGCCCGACCUCCUACGGGAGGCAGCAGUAAGGAAUAUUGGUCAAUGGACGCAAGUCUGAACCAGCCAUGCCGCGUGGAGGAUGAAGGUCCUCUGG